UCCUACGGGAGGCAGCAGUGAGGAAUAUUGGGCAAUGCCCGAAAGGGUGACCCAGCAACGCCGCGUGGAGGAUGAAGGUCGUAAGAUUGUAAACUCCUGUUAGAGGGGAAGAAUAACUAAGUUUGGAGCUUAGUAUGACUGUACCCUCAGAGAAAGCCCCGGCUAACUACGUGCCAGCAGCCGCGGUAAU
rnacentral:rRNA from 1 species